UCAGGCCUAACACAUGCAAGUCGAGCGGAAACGAGUUAUCUGACCCUUCAGGUGACGAUAACGGCGUCGAGCGGCGGACGGGUGAGUAAUGCCUGGGAAAUUGCCCUGAUGUGGGGGAUAACCAUUGGAAACGAUGGCUAAUACCGCAUAAUAGCUUCGGCUCAAAGAGGGGGACCUUCGGGCCUCUCGCGUCAGGAUAUGCCCAGGUGGGAUUAGCUAGUUGGUGAGGUAAGGGCUCACCAAGGCGACGAUCCCUAGCUGGUCUGAGAGGAUGAUCAGCCACACUGGAACUGAGACACGGUCCAGACUCCUACGGGAGGCAGCAGUGGGGAAUAUUGCACAAUGGGCGCAAGCCUGAUGCAGCCAUGCCGCGUGUAUGAAGAAGGCCUUCGGGUUGUAAAGUACUUUCAGCAGUGAGGAAGGUGGGUAUGUUAAUAGCAUACUCAUUUGACGUUAGCUGCAGAAGAAGCACCGGCUAACUCCGUGCCAGCAGCCGCGGUAAUACGGAGGGUGCGAGCGUUAAUCGGAAUUACUGGGCGUAAAGCGCAUGCAGGUGGAUGAUUAAGUCAGAUGUGAAAGCCCGGGGCUCAACCUCGGAAUAGCAUUUGAAACUGGUUAUCUAGAGUACUGUAGAGGGGGGUAGAAUUUCACGUGUAGCGGUGAAAUGCGUAGAGAUCUGAAGGAAUACCGGUGGCGAAGG
rnacentral:rRNA from 1 species